UCUUUUUAUUGUGUGCCAGCCGCCGCGGUAAUACGUAGGCGGCAAGCGUUGUCCGGAAUUAUUGGGCGUAAAGGGAGCGCAGGCGGGAAACUAAGCGGAUCUUAAAAGUGCGGGGCUCAACCCCGUGAUGGGGUCCGAACUGGUUUUCUUGAGUGCAGGAGAGGAAAGCGGAAUUCCCAGUGUAGCGGUGAAAUGCGUAGAUAUUGGGAAGAACACCAGUGGCGAAGGCGGCUUUCUGGACUGUAACUGACGCUGAGGCUCGAAAGCUAGGGUAGCGAACGGG
rnacentral:rRNA from 1 species